rnacentral:rRNA from 1 species
UACGUAGGGGGCUAGCGUUGUCCGGAAUCAUUGGGCGUAAAGCGCGUGUAGGCGGUCCGGUAAGUCCGCUGUGAAAGUCGGGGGCUCAACCCUCGGAUGCCGGUGGAUACUGUCGGGCUUGAGUACGGAAGAGGCGAGUGGAAUUCCUGGUGUAGCGGUGAAAUGCGCAGAUAUCAGGAGGAACACCAAUAGCGAAGGCAGCUCGCUGGGACGUUACUGACACUGAGGCGCGAAGGCCAGGGGAGCAAACGGG